rnacentral:rRNA from 1 species
UACGUAGGGUGCAAGCGUUAAUCGGAAUUACUGGGCGUAAAGCGUGCGCAGGCGGCUAUGCAAGACAGAUGUGAAAUCCCCGGGCUCAACCUGGGAACUGCAUUUGUGACUGCAUGGCUAGAGUACGGUAGAGGGGGAUGGAAUUCCGCGUGUAGCAGUGAAAUGCGUAGAUAUCAAGAGGAACACCAGUGGCGAAGGCGAGUCCCUGGACAACUUCUGACGCUGAGGCACGAAAGCUAGGGGAGCAAACAGG